rnacentral:lncRNA from 1 species
AAGUUUCUUCUGGUUGCCAUCGAUACUUUAUAAAGUGAGUUGAAGUCGAGCCACAGACUCGCAUAAUCGAGGUUAAAGUAAAAGAUUUCAUCUGAAAGUCUAUCAUUUGCCAUUAUAGUCUUCCCAGAGUGCUCAUCACAGAUAAUGACAGAUAGUUUAGUGGUAUCCAGCUUCAUAAAUUCUAUAAAGAAUAUGAAAUAGAGCACCGCUUUACCUCAGUAGACCACCCGC